rnacentral:rRNA from 1 species
GACGAACGCUGGCGGCGUGCUUAACACAUGCAAGUCGAACGGAAAGGCCCUGCUUGCCGGGUGCUCGAGUGGCGAACGGGUGAGUAACAUGUGGGUGAUCUGCCCCUUACUUUGGGAUAAGCCUGGGAAACUGGGUCUAAUACUGGAUAGGACCAUGCUGUAGGUGGUGUGGUGGAAAGAUUUUUUCGGUAAGGGAUGAGCUCGCGGCCUAUCAGCUUGUUGGUGGGGUAAUGGCCUACCAAGGCGUCGACGGGUAGCCGGCCUGAGAGGGUGGACGGCCACAUUGGGACUGAGAUACGGCCCAGACUCCUACGGGAGGCAGCAGUGGGGAAUAUUGCACAAUGGGCGCAAGCCUGAUGCAGCGACGCCGCGUGGGGGAUGACGGCCUUCGGGUUGUAAACUCCUUUCAGCCAUGACGAAGCCUCUUUUGGGGUGACGGUAGUGGUAGAAGAAGCACCGGCUAACUACGUG